GUGAGCAAUGCAUGAGAAUGAAAUAACGGUUCGUAAUUGUGUAGCCUAAUUUGUCGAGGAUUCUAAUAUUAUUAGUGAUCUUUAACCUUAAUUAUGCGGGGUUGUCUUGUUCACACGUCACUUAACUUUGCACGCGCUGUUACCGAUAGCAGUUUUCAGGAAAGAAAAAUGUUUAUUUAAAAAGUGCAGGUUAAAACAGUGCGUUUAAGGCGAUAAUGCAACUUGCAGCUGGUAGCUUUAAUUUCUGUAUUCGGAAUAGUUGCAGACAUGCUUUUUCGUGAUUUAUUCGCUCGACUGCACCCGCACAAUGAAAUUUGCCAAUGGGCGAAUGGAUAAUGUCGGAGCAACCCGAGGCCAUGAAUGAUAGCUGUACUUCUCAAGGACAGAAUAGAUAAGUAUCAAAGAAAUCGCAGUUAAGGAGGUAGUGGUGUUCGGUGCCAACCUGACCCGAAUUACAUAGCCCGCAGACUCUAUCUUCAAAUGGGGUUCCGUCGUAUCGGCCUGUCUCGACUGGAAACCAGUGGUUAGCAGUCCUGAAUUGGAAUAGGGAAGGUGCUGGUGGAUGCUUGAUGGAAGACUGAUUGCAGCUCAUCAGUUAUGUGCUCUAUGGUCUGCUGCGAUUUGGGGUUGGAUGAGGGUUCUGUCCCCCCACUGGCCUAAUGGCUAUGGUUGCUGUCUGCUGUGGUCCUACUAUGGUUAUUGGACUGUGGAGUGUCCCUAGAGGGCACACGGUUAUCAGUACGCGCAGAAUCCCAGGGGCGUUGGAUGCUGGGCACAGAUGACUGGGUGUUCAGUGGAGUUCUGGGAGAUACUGGGGGAUGAUUACGAGCAUGCGCUUUUGAAGAAUUAGGAGAAGCAGACUGCGAGCGUCUUGAUACGUGUUCGGAAUUGGGAGUUGGAGUAUUGGGAGUGAUGACCACGGUUGUUUUCCUCUGGUUAGCAGAGGUUGUGAUAGGCUCUGGCGGGAUAUUGUUCCUGGCGCUUUGGGGAGGAGGGACACUGUGUGCCUGGUUGGACCGUGGUACUUCGGGGAUCGUGGCAGUUGGAGUAAUGGGGGUGGCGACCGCAGUUGU